UUUUUUUUAUUGUAUGCUUGAUGUAUUUAGAGACAAUUCCAAGGGCAAGCACUGGUUGGGGAAGUCAGUUAUCUGGUUUGUAGAUAUGUGUACAAAAGGCUAUUAAGACUACACGGUCAGUUCCCACUGCAGGAAGCAGAAAGGUUUUCCUUUGUAUUAUUCCCUGCCCCUAGCAUUUUCCAGCUCACACAUCUGACUUCUCACAACAUGACUGCAAACAUGUACGUAUUCAUCCCCACGAGAAAUCGGCAUGUGACGUCUCGGGAUGUUUUGGAUUCAAUCAGAUAAAGCACAUUUGACACAAACCAUAGGAGGGGAAGUUGGGACCUAGGACCCUAUGGAAUGAAAUGUCAGGGCUACAGGGAAGCACGGGCACUGCUGGGUCAGCUGGUGCACGUGACCUGCCGCCCCUCCCCCUCCACAGGAGAAAGGCCAGCUCAGGGGGUUCCCCUCCCUCCUUCCUCCCCAAAGCUGAGAGCUCAGCUGAAGACCUUCCCCAGAAAUGACUUGACCGCUCCUCAGUCGAGAAUGCAGUUAGUGCAUUCAUAACAGACACACUGGUCCCACCUGGCUUUCCUGCUGGGCUGGGCAGAGCUGUGUAACACCUGGACCCAUGUGGGAUGACAUCAGGAAGCAAAGUAGUUUGCCUGGUUGAUAAUUAUUUUUUAUACCUAAUAAUCCACCCAACAGUGAAGGAACUUCACUGCUAGUAUCUAAUAGGCAUACACCUUCUCUAUUAGACAGCUUAUAAGAAAGACUCUUUCUAACAAUAACACUGUCUUAUGUUAUUGGGUACUAAAGAAUUACCAUAAUUUCAAGUAUAUCCUUAUUCUACCUAAAAUUCCAAACCACCUCCAAGGAUGAAAGAGUACUACUUCUGCUUUGCUAAUUUACUUUUAUUGGAGCUUUUGCCCCUCCUCAGAGUAUGAGUGGUAAAUCCCAGCAACUAGCCAAGACUAACUAGCUUAUGUUUGAUUAUGGGGCGCGGGGAUAGGGGAGAGAUUCUGUCCUUCACGGCCAUGUCUUCUUUCUGUGCGAGGCAUACACAGCCCCCGCCCCCUCCCCCAGGUCUUAAUGGAUACACAAAUGGUAUUUUAGGAAGCUAUUUACACGCCAACCUUUAAACAUUAUUUUCAUAGUUCAUCUUGAAUAUUCAUUUUCCCCACACUGCCUUUAGAAAAGCAAUCCAUGGUCAAGAAAUUGUCCACGUAACGAUAAGCAUUCUUCAAAAGCAGAGUCUGUUAGGAGCAUUUAAAAACCAACAUCCCCCCAGCAAUGCCGUACUCAAAAUCCAACUACACGUUUCAAGCUGCUAAUAUGUCACUAGAACCCGAUGGAAGCAUCCCUGCCCCUUUUAACUUCUGCCACGAAAGGACUGCCACGCCCUCUAGUGGGGAGUUGGUAGAAAAAGGACUUGUUCCGGUAAAACCUGUGACCCUCAGUGUCCACGUCUGUGUACGGGGCCCAAGUUCCUUCCAGCUCUCAUGGCAUACGAUACACUGCAGCUGACAAGGAGUCACUAACUUGAAGUCACUUCCAAGACUACUGACGCUCACAGUAUUUCCAUUUGGAAAUGCCUGUCAGUGAUGAAGGUGAUUAGGCCCACACGGUACAGCUGAGAAAUUUGCAGCUUCGUGGGGUGGAACUUCUGCCACAGGGCCAUUUAAUUAAUCCUAAACUAGACGGCGGUAACCAGGCCCGGAAUCAUUUCUAGACAUACGCAUGUCCGUGCGGCGGGUGAGCGGCCGUGCGGGGAGAGCCCCGUGCCUCGUGGGAGAGCCACGCCGCGAUCCAGGGACGUCACGCACAGCUGCCUGUGAAUCUCUACAGUGGGCAGCUUCCAGCUCGCACGGCACGUGGAAGCUGUCUGCGGGUCCACCGCACACGAGCGCAGUGCACAGCAGACACAGCUGGAGACAUUCUGCAUUACAGGCCUGCGCUCAGCAGAAGGGAGGCCAGGCCGGGAAGCCUCCCUCGAGCACACACACACAAGAGCCCUGGGCCAAAGAAAUGCCUUCUGUUAACCAGAAAGAAACCACUACUGAGAGAAAGAAGAGUCCACCAUGCUGGAUGUAAGAAAAUAAGCUCACCCAGUCCACGCAAAUUGCACGCACCAAUUUACCUAUAAGAUGUCACUUUCUUCAGGACAAAUUGGACCCUUGCAAGUUGUCAAAUAAAUGCUUGGGAAGCAGAUGAGCAUCUAACAACCAUAUGCAGAAACUCCCUGAGCGAUGAAGCUGGGCUUAUCCUGUGCCCUGGAGUCCCCGGCAGAUCCGCUGGCGCAGAAAAUAGCAGCACAAAGGCUCCUGCUUGGAUGAAUCUGCUAAACUUUGAACCAAUCUGAGAAGGGCCUGGAAGAACCAGUUUCUCUCAACUGCAGGUGUCCCUCUGAAUGGUUCAUCCAUGCGUCAUCCCAGCUUGACUAUGCGGGGGCCUCUCAGUGGUGAAAAUAACAAGCCCUAAUUCACGAUGUCUGCCGAUUUCCACAGUGUAAACACGCCCACUGGGGCCCAUUUCAAGCUACCGAUGUGAUGUCACUGAACACAGGGUCGGGAAGAGAUGACAUCAUCAGCUUCCAUAGGCUCUGGCACACCACGAGACUCGGAAUUUUACACUGCCUCAAAAUGCGAAGCUACCUCUCUGCUCUUUCCCUCUCCAAUUCUUCAUAUCGAUGAGCUUUAACAAGUACUGCUUCCACGUAGGAAAUGGCCUCCAAAGGUCAGAACCGGUGCACUAAAUCCAAUGAGUGUCACUAUAUGGAUGACCAAGGCACCAGCUGACUCAAUAGAAUAUUAAUAUGAUGGAAUUUGCCUGCUCAAUAAGAUUAAUUAAAGGUCUUUUGCAUCUCCCACCCACUCUCAAACUCUGACUUCUGCAUCUGCUUCCAACUCUCAAAAUUACAUAGUACCUGGUACGUAUUAGGAGGAAGGGAGGAGAGAAGGGAGGGAAAGAGGAAGAAAAAAAGGGAAUGUGAGAACAAGCUAUAUCAAGAAAAGGAUCUAUAAUUAAUGCAAUGAGCAAAGAGCCAAGAAGUUCUGAAGCAGACAGACCAAUAGUAAGAUGAUGUCCUUUGGUUUCUAACAUAAAUUAGGAAGAUAAAUAAUAUAGUCUUCUUUGAUCAUAAUCUUUUGCAAGUCCACUGCUCUGAAACUAUUUCUUGCAAACAUCUCUCUAAUGUUCUUAGCAUUAGCAGAAGCCGGUUAAAAUUUCCCUAAUUUUAUUACCUAAAAACCCAAGAGUAGGUAAUUACGCUUCCUGAUGACAAAAUACAAAAUGUUGAGCAUGCCCAAUUACAGAGAAACAUUGAAAUGUUGAAUAGGAGAAAAAAAAUCUAUGACAGUUCUAUAGCCACAGUAGGAAAUGUACCUCAUUUAACCAGGGAAGAUAAAAAUGAAUGUCUUCCGGGAAGCCCUUAAUAGGCUUUAAGGUCUUUUCAAGUAAUUUAACCAUGAAUAACUUUCUUUUAAAAUUACUUGAAAUUUUCCAUUUUAGAUAUUAGAAAGCUAUUUUCCAGCUCAUUUUUAGAAUUAUAUUAGGCCGUGCACUUUACCCUAGGAAACAGAAUUGCUUUAUCUUCACAUCCCGGCAAUCACAAAGCCCUGUCUUCUAAGCACAGUUAGAGCAGCUGUCUGAGACAUCAGGAACCAAGGGGGUUGCUGUGGUCAUUCUUCAGUUCAACCUGCUCCUUCAAAGGCUCCUGUUCCCUGAAGAACAAUGUCUAAAUUCCUCGGCAGAGUGUUCCAGACAGACUCUAAAUGCCUACACGUACCCCUGCGGGCCAGCACAAAGUGCUCACAAAAGCUACCAGCAAGCAAGGCCAGAGUCCACAAGGGGAAGUCAGACACCAGGGGGAGGAACGACAAGCCCCAGAUCUGACGGAUCAAAAAGGGGGUGGGAGUGGGGCCAUGGAACCAAGCGUUCAGAACUGGAAGAUAAAAUCAAGAGAAAGCAGCUGGAGUCAAACAGAGGC